UUACGGUCAUAUGACGUUGAAAUACCGGUUCCCAUACGUUCACUGUUAAAAGUUAAUCAACGUUGAGCCUGGUCAGUACCUAGAUGGGUGACCGCUUGGGAAUACAAGGUGCUGUAAG